AGGGAAUCUUCGGCAAUGGACGGAAGUCUGACCGAGCAACGCCGCGUGAGUGAAGAAGGUUUUCGGAUCGUAAAGCUCUGUUGUAAGAGAAGAACGAGUGUGAGAGUGGAAAGUUCACACUGUGACGGUAUCUUACCAGAAAGGGACGGCUAACUACGUGCCAGCAGCCGCGGUAAUACGUAGGUCCCGAGCGUUGUCCGGAUUUAUUGGGCGUAAAGCGAGCGCAGGCGGUUAGAUAAGUCUGAAGUUAAAGGCUGUGGCUUAACCAUAGUACGCUUUGGAAACUGUUUAACUUGAGUGCAAGAGGGGAGAGUGGAAUUCCAUGUGUAGCGGUGAAAUGCGUAGAUAUAUGGAGGAACACCGGUGGCGAAAGCGGCUCUCUGGCUUGUAACUGACGCUGAGGCUCGAAAGCGUGGGGAGCAAACAGGAUUAGAUACCCAGGUAGUCCACGCCGUAAACGAUGAGUGCUAGGUGUUAGACCCUUUCCGGGGUUUAGUGCCGCAGCUAACGCAUUAAGCACUCCGCCUGGGGAGUACGACCGCAAGGUUG
rnacentral:rRNA from 1 species